CCUCAGACUGGCGCUUCUCCUGGACUGUGUCUAAUCAGAGAGUGAGAGGCGGCGUCUUCAACGGUUCUGGUACCGGGAGGGAGGGUGGUG
rnacentral:miRNA from 1 species